rnacentral:rRNA from 1 species
UACGGGGGGGUGCGAGCGUUGUCCGGAAUCACUGGGCGUAAAGGGCGCGUAGGUGGUUUGAUAAGGGUAUGGUGAAAGUCCGGAGCUCAACUCCGGAUCUGCCGUGCCGACUGUCAAACUCGAGGGCUGUAGAGGCAGACGGAAUUCCGGGUGUAGCGGUGGAAUGCGUAGAGAUCCGGAGGAAGACCGGUGGCGAAGGCGGUCUGCUGGGCAGUUUCUGACACUGAGGCGCGACAGCGUGGGGAGCAAACAGG